UGAAUUAUUUUUUUUUUAAUAUUUUUGCUUUAUGAUUGUAUAUGCGUGCGCAUGUGGAAGGCUUAAUUUUUAACUGCUUAUUACGGUUACAUUUUGAAAGGCACGUCGAGAGGCGCUACUUCGACACUUUAUUUGUCAUCAUUCGCUUAUGUACAUACAUACAUAAGUAUUUAUUUGUGGAUGAUCGUAGUUUCAAUAUGUUGCUGAAAUUCCAACGUUUUUAUACGUAAACUUUUUUUGAACAACAUUUACUACAUCGACGAGAAUUAUGAAGGAAAUUUGUUUGAAAAUACUACAAUGGAACCCCACCCGGUUAUUUGCUACUACAAAUGCAACAAUUCUAUGUUAGCCAGAGAGUUUUAUAUUUUCCUGUCAAAUACUCCAGGACUAGAAACUUAUAACAAAAAUAAAGUAGAAGAUAAAUGAAUGCACAUAAAAACCAAAAGCAGGACAAAACAAAAUUGAUAUAUGUUGUCAGAUAGACGAAAGAAAAUAUAUUGAGAGCAAGGAAAUUAAACAAGAGCAGAGAUGUAACUGAAUAAAACAAAAUUAGAAGCGACAAAUUUGUACAAAAAUGUGCAAAAAAAAUGCAACCAUAUAUGCAGGCACAGUACAUUGAAAAACUGUUAUGGUUGUGAUAAAAUAUAAUUUAAUUUUCUUUUAAUCACAAAUUGUAUGAAAACAGAACUAAUUUUCAUAUUUAUACCUCAUUUAGCAGCUAAGCUACGGAGAAGUGUAACAAAAACAGAGAGUCGCACGACCGAAAAAGGGCGUGUAAGGAAGAGCUACAAUAAGCGAAACCGAAUUGCCUUAAAAAGAAGAUGCGAUUGCGAGCGGGGGGCUCUGGAUACAUGCGCGCUGCAAGAGCUACUGCUGAAAUUCAUACAUAUAGUAUGUAUAGUCCUCCUGCGAGCCAGUGAACAGACUCACUUAUUUUCUUUUGCCCAUCUCUAGUACGAAAAUUUUCGGGCCAAACGUACCGAGCGAAAUAAUUUGAAAAUGGAGCUAGCUUUACCUUAAGUAGAC